rnacentral:lncRNA from 1 species
AUUAAUUGGUAAAUGGUAAGAAUUAUAAUCUAAUGAUUAAAUAUUAUAUUUAAUGGCCUUUUACAAAAAUGCCCUUGGAAUUAUAUGUGAAAUGACCAAAAUACCCUUUUUGUCAUUUUAGUGUAUUAUUACUUACAUUGUUGAUGGGAUCUUGCAACAAGGAUGCCCAACAUGCUUACCCUACAUGCUAUCAACUAUCAAACAAGGGAAUCAUCCCACUUUAGCAUCCAAUGUAUUGAAAAAAAAAAUUAAAUUAAAGAAAAGGGAAAAUGCAUUAUUUAUGUCUUAUUGCUACCACUUGUCCACAAAAUCUAGCCACCUACCAUAUUCUAGAAUUUACUUAUGCUUCUAUGUCAUUACACCAUCAAUUAUCAGCCCUUACAUUGAUUGAUUCAAUCAAUUCUAUAAAUUAGGAAGAGAUUAAACUCAUUUGUACACUAAAAUUAUAGCAAACACCUAGCUUUACUCUCUCAAGCUCUUACCAACGAAAUUAUCUUGCCCAUAAGCUCCUAAUCAAAGCCCAGCCAAUAGUCAUGAUUAUACCAAUAAUCAUGUUGAUCAUUUC